rnacentral:rRNA from 1 species
UACGAAGGGGGCUAGCGUUGUUCGGAAUUACUGGGCGUAAAGGGCGCGUAGGCGGUCCUGAUCGUCGGAUGUGAAAGGCCUGGGCUCAACCUGGGAACUGCAUCCGAUACGGCGGGACUGGAGUGUGGGAGAGGUUGGUGGAAUUCCCAGUGUAGAGGUGAAAUUCGUAGAUAUCGGGAGGAACACCAGUGGCGAGAGCGGCUAUCUGGGCCGACACUGACGCUGAGGCGCGAAAGCGUGGGGAGCAAACAGG